rnacentral:ncRNA from 2 species
GACAAUUCGGUUCUCCGAGCCCCGGCGCCUAACCUCGUGACGUGAGUAUGGCGCCUGGGCCCCUUCCCCGAUGCUUCGCUUUGCGAAGCAAAGCGACGGGGACGGGUGAGGAAGGAAACGACCUCGCCUCCUCGUGCUUGGAAAGGAGAAGACACGCUGACGCGU